UCGCUACUACCGAUUGAAUGGCUUAGUGAGACCUCCGGAUUGACACUCUGCAGCUGUUCGCAGCAGCGGGGUGGUGAGAAGUUGGUCAAACUUGGUCAUUUAGAGGAAGUAA
rnacentral:rRNA from 1 species